GACACUAGUACAGAGACUGAGACAGUUCAGAGCGCGGAAAAACAACGGUUGAGUUCAGAUCAUUUAAAAUGUCUCUGUUCCUGAUACUGAUGCUGCCAUUAGAAAUGAAUGAGAUCGGCCUACAUUAACACUGAUGCCACAAAGAGGAGGAGACGUCAAAGAGGAAGUAGAGGCGACAUUUGUCCUCAUGAGACACUAGUACAGAGACUGAGAGAGUUCAGAGCGUGAGAAGAAGACGGAAGAACAACGGUUGAUUUCAGAUCAUUUAAAAUGUCUCUGUUCUUGAUACUGAUGCUGCCAUUAGCAGUAACUCAAGUUUCCACCAUCACUUUCAGAGUUGGAGAUGACGUCACUCUGCCUUGUGACAAUAUAAAAGAUCUGAAUGAUGAAUGUUUCAGUACUACCUGGAUCUUCAGUGGUUCAGGAAGGUCGUCAACGUCAACGUUGUUUGAACAUGGGAAGAUUCACAAAGAUGCUGGAUCUAAAUCAAACAGACUGAGUGUUACAACAAACUGUUUACUGGUUAUAAAGAAGGUCACAGUUGAGGAUGAUGGUCGUUACACCUGCAGACAGUUCAAUAAAUCAGGACGACAAGUUACAGACUCUGGUGUUGAUCUUUCUGUUACCAAAAAAGAAAAAACACCACCACCACCAACAACAACAACGAUGAAAGCUGCAACAACAACAAAGACAGUAGCAACAUCAUCUAAAACUCCAUCACCUCCACCUCCAACAACAACUAAAAUGGCAAUGACACACAACAACACACCUGAUCAACCAUCAACAACAGUCACAGGUGAGUCUGGCUCCAACACAACCACUGGUAAAUCCACCACAGUAACACAUGUAGAAAUAAAUAAAUACAUGUGUGAAUGAACAACAACUUUCACUAAGGUAGUUCUAGGCAGAACGGGUCCAACCUUUUACGAGCAAGGUGUACCUAAUAAAGUGGCUGGUGAGUGUACAUCCAUUGACUGAGGGCGAGUAAAGUAAUAAAAACUAUGAAAGACUGAU